CAAUUUCCCACAGUUAGGGUUUUUGCAAGGCAUAGUGAGGCGGCAAGCAGCGAGUCGUUCUUUCUCUCAAGCGUUCCAAAACAAUGGGCCAUUCAAAUAUCUGGAACUCACAUCCGAAGACCUAUGGUCCCGGUUCUCGUGCCUGCCGGGUUUGUGGAAACCCUCAUGGAUUGAUCAGGAAAUAUGGGCUGAUGUGCUGCAGGCAGUGCUUCCGCAGCAAUGCCAAGGAAAUUGGAUUCAUCAAGUAUCGCUG
rnacentral:misc_RNA from 1 species